rnacentral:lncRNA from 1 species
CACCCUUGGCCACCCCUCCCCCUUCCCCUUGCAGCCGCCUUCCACUGCUUCCUCCUCUCUCUAGAUCUCCCCCCACAUAGCAAGGAUCGAGAAAAGGAGGAGCAAGAUGGAUUGAAGAGGAAGAGAGGAUCAAGGAGAUGUUCUACCCCCAUCUCUUGCAGAUUUUCUUGGGAAAACCCUAGGUAAGGAUGAGAUCCUUGUUCCUCCCUAUAAUUAUGUGCUUUUGGAGGUUGUGGAUCAUGUGGAUUGAAGGAUUAGAGGUUGGAUUAGAUGUGGGGUUACGUUUUGAUCUCGAAUUUAAUUUCUGCAGAAUGGCAGAUUCGACAGUUUCUGUUCAUGCCAGUUUUCCGUGGUCUCAGUGGCCUCAAAAAAUAAAAAGUCUAUAUAUGAGUCGUAGAUAAUUUGUAAAUCAUUCCGUGGCCGCGAAUAACACCUCAAUCGGACAUCAGAACAGAAAGUUAUUGCAGUUUGAUUAUAGCAGUUUUUCAGUCUCAUAAUUCUGUGCAGAAUCUGUUCUCUUAAGAGUUAGGCAAUUUUAUAAACAGAAUUAAACUGUGUGUUGGUAAAAGAAGUUGUAGAUAAUUUCAUAAGCUUUCCAGAUUGUUAAAGAGUGCAUUCAUAUGAUUUAUGAAACUCCGGUUAUGUUUGUUUUACUGUGGCUGUUCCUGUUUGCCUGACAAAAAUGAGUGGGUCUGUUCACUGGUGGGUUUCAUCUAGUAAAUUGCCGAAUGGGCUCUUCCAACUAUGGAGACUUUUGUAGAGGGAUAAAAGUUCUUACUGUCAGAAGAAUUUCAUAAAUUUUGGUUUAGUAGUUUGGGAGAUAUCGAAUUUUGAAGUUAACUAGGCUGCUGUCUAAAACAGAUUUAGUCAGUUAUCUUGUUAGAUGUUUUAGAACUUAUUGAUGGCAGAAUUUAAUUAUCCAUUGAAUACCGAAGUUGUAGAGUGUUUUGUGUAGAUACUCCUAGAGUAUUUGUUUGAUAUCACCACUGUUUUAAUUUUAAAUAUACAAAAUUAACAAACAGUGCUGCUGUUGUAUGGCAUGUGGUUUAGGGUGAGAGUCUUUCCACUGGGUCUUGGUUUCAAGUGUAGGAGUGUUUUGUUGAUCGUUGGCAAAUGUUUGUGAAAUAUUUGUACUAAUUUUUAUGCCCACUAGAAGGUGGCUACACUCCAUAUCAUGCGUAGUACAUUUUUUUUCUUCGAUGAAGGCAAGUGAAUGUAGCAGUGGUUGCUUCCGUUCCGACCUGUUAUUUCUAUUGCCUACACUCUCAUAUUCAGAAGUAUUGGAUUAUUUCAUAAUUGGACUCUAUGGUGAUGUUUUACUUGCUUGCAUUAUACUGAUGCUCAAUCAUAUAUUGAUGAUGAUUAUGAUUCGAGUAUGACUCAUGAGAUUAAUUCACACCCCUGAAGGUAAAUGAAGUAUUAUUUGAGGUUGGUAUUGUAUCUGAAGGUAAAUGAAGUAUUAUUUGAGGUUGUAUUGUAUGUGAAGGAAGUGAAGUAUAUUGAUAAAUGCAGCAUGCCAUAUACAUUGCAUGAUUCACUUGCAUAUGAAGUUGGGUCGUGACCUAUGGUCCGACCGUACCGGUACAACUUAGCAUUGUACGUUGCCCGAGGAGGGGUACGAUGCGGCUUCAUACACUUAGAGGUAUGAAGGCAGAGGACAUAUGCAUUGCAUUCAUAUGCAUUCAUUGAAGUGAUAUUUGCAGAUGAUGUGGUUUUACACCCUCAGAGGUAUGAAGACAGAGUACCUACACUUUGCACUCCUAUGCAUACAUUGAAGUGAUAUUUGCAAGUUUUGUUGACGCAAGGAAGUGUUAUAGAACCUAUUGUGUUUUUUCGAGAAAUGAGAUGGUAUUGGUUAUAUUAGGACUACUGAGUUCUAUAUCUACAAGUAUUUCUGAUCUUAAUUGUGAUUCUUUUAAAAUGUUGAUUAAUUCAAUUUGUGGUUUAAAUAUCUCAUCAAAACAAUUCGCUUGCUGAGAUGUUUUAUAUCACUCUUGCAUUACUCAAUGCAGGUGCUUGUUGUUCAUCCAGGGAAGUGGGAAGUAGCAGCAUAUCCACCUUCACUCUCAUAAUAACGCUGCUUAGGCGCAGUCAUGAUUUAAUUAGAAGCUUCUUGUCGAAGGAUGUUUGUUUCUAACUAGUUGUGCGCACUGGUUAAUUUAGUUCAUGUUGUUAUGGUUGUCUUCCCAUUGCUAGCAGAUUAUUAAUGUCGAUUAUGUUUUCUUAUCAUGAUAUCUAUUUAUACUUUGUUGCUUCC